GCCUCGUAAAGAAAGUUCCUGCUGCUUCUUCUGCUAUGAUUGUAAAUUUCCUGAGGCCUCUCCAGCCACGCAGAACUAUGGUGUCAGAAUUGGAACAUGAAGUAGAACUUCCAGUAACCCCUAGGAGCAUCAAGUGACCCAGAGAGGUAACCCCCUCCACCAGGGUCCAUUGCAUCCAUUGCUCUCUCACAGCAACUGAGGCUCAUGGUGGUAACUUUGUGAGACAAGCCUCAAAUUUUACCACUGUACCAAGAAAUGAAAGCCAGAAUGUGGAAUUGGAGCUGGUAAUGACGACGUCAGGACAGGUUCAAAGGAAGCCCAUCACUUGAGUAAAAAUUUAUAGCCCUGCUUGUGCUGUGCUGUGCUGUGCUGUGAGUUUCAGUUCCGGGCCAGCAAAAGAUUUAUCAAAGGAAAGCAACAAGGUGUGUGGAAAUAGAAGAUCCCUGCUCAGGAACCCACUGUGGGCCAAUCAACAGCUUCCCAAAACGAGUCAGGGAGUUCCAGAAGCUCCCAUUCCGGUGCCAGCUGAGAAUCCAUUUGGAUAAUAACGGAGUAAAAACUCUGGUUUGGAGAAAGUUUCUGUAAUGUUUUUCUUUUUCCUUUUUGGUGGAAGGGAGAAUAAAGGAGGAUAUUGCCUGGUAAGCAUGCAAAGAAAAAAAGUCACGCCAAUUUCACUAGAAUUGCCCAGAACCUCAACUCUGGUGAACUGCAGGUGACAACACUUCACACUGUUUACAUGAUUGGGGCUUCCCUGGAAACUGCGCUGACCCUGAGAUGAUUGAACAUUUAGAGUAAAACCCUUGAUGUAGUUCAUAAAAUUGGAUUCAAAUGAAAAGUUUAAUGUGGAGUCAUUCAAAAAUAACACUAAGAGCUCUUCCCUGAAUUCAAAAGAAAAAGGAAGGAAAACAUGUUAGUCUUAGCAGGAGCCAAGGCUGCAGGUGGGGGAAGAUGGAGAGGACAGUGUUUGGGUUUUAUUAUGUUUACUUUUCUCUUACGGAAGAAUAGAAGAUGGAUGACUUGAUGCCUGAGGUAAUUCAGUAUGUUUCACCAAUUUGGAGAUGGUCAUUUGUCCAUACUUAAGUCUCAGUAAUUAUGUUGAAAUAUUAUAAUUUCUGUAAGCUGGGAAGGUUACAAUGUGGUGGUUGUCAUUGCCCGGGCAUGCACAAACUUGGUCGUGAUUCCUGGUGGCAUGAUUAGACAGACAACUGCAACCCCUUGACACUUAAUUCCAGAAAUCAUUUAAGAAUCACUUGAAAAAGGAAUAUAUUAUUGUUCUCCUUCCAAUAACCAAGUGUCUUCUGAAAACCUUUCAUUGUCACUUUCUGGUAAUUGAACAAUGAGAACACAUGGACACAGGAAGGGGAACAUCACACACUGGGAAC
rnacentral:lncRNA from 1 species